rnacentral:ncRNA from 2 species
GAACUCUGGAGAAACCCGUUCGGGUGCCGAAGGUGCAAGGUGAAAACCGAAUCUCUCAGGCAAAAGGACAGAGCAU